AGGUCAUUUAAAAGAGAACAUAUGGGACCAAAACCAGGAGCUCUUAAUGCUGAGGCAUAAGAUUGAAGUUCUUUAUAGGAUGUAAUAGAUACUCAAUGGUGCUAUAUUUUCCUGAGGAGAUAUAAGA
rfam:Myotis brandtii contig51596, whole genome shotgun sequence.